UGAGUUAAGCUCGCAGAACAGGAAACUAAAAAUGUACUUUGAUCUUUAAGGAUUUAUAAGAACUUAUUGUACAUGUGGCGGCAACUCUAGAAAAGGUUUUCAAACUGAAGCUGUUCCAUGGAAUUUUGAAGCCGCAACAAAUGUAUGAAAUUGUUUCCAUUUGAGUGGCACGUGCUUUUAAAGAUUAAACCGCAACGUGAGGCGGGUAGAUAGCGUGAGGAGAAUUCGUCUUUGUUGGAGCACCCAAAAAAAAAAAAAAGAAACAAACAAAAAUUUCAAAAGCUAAAGA